CGUGUAUAUAUUGGUUCAUUGAGUCUGC
rnacentral:sRNA from 1 species